CCAUACGACCGUACCGCAAACCGACACUGGUGCGCGAGAUGAGGAUUCUAAGGCGCUUGAGAGAACUCAGGAGAAGGAACUCGGCAAAUUGACACCGUAACUUCGGAAGAAGGUGUGCCCUAUUAGUGUGUAGUGAACAACGAAGCAUGAAUGGGUUGCAAAAAAUCGGUGGCUGCGACUGUUUAUUAAAAACACAGCACUCUGCAAACACGAAAGUGGACGUAUAGGGUGUGACGCCUGCCCGGUGCUGGAAGAUUAAAUGAUGGGGUGCAAGCUCUUGAUUGAAGUCCCAGUAAACGGCGGCCGUAACGAUAACGGUCCUAAGGUAGCGAAAUUCCUUGUCGGGUAAGUUCCGACCUGCACGAAUGGCGUAACGAUGGCCACACUGUCUCCUCCUGAGACUCAGCGAAGUUGAAAUGUUUGUGAUGAUGCAAUCUCCCCGCGGAAAGACGGAAAGACCCCAUGAACCUUUACUGUAGCUUUGUAUUGGACUUUGAACAGAUCUGUGUAGGAUAGGUGGGAGGCUUUGAAGCAGGGUCGCUAGAUCUUGUGGAGCCAACGUUGAAAUACCACCCUGGUGUGUUUGAGGUUCUAACCUAGGUCCAUUAUCUGGAUCGGGGACAGUGCAUGGUAGGCAGUUUGACUGGGGCGGUCUCCUCCCAAAGCGUAACGGAGGAGUUCGAAGGUACGCUAGUUACGGUCGGACAUCGUGACGAUAGUGCAAUGGCAUAAGCGUGCUUAACUGCGAGACUGACAAGUCGAGCAGAUGCGAAAGCAGGACAUAGUGAUCCGGUGGUUCUGUAUGGAAGGGCCAUCGCUCAACGGAUAAAAGGUACUCUGGGGAUAACAGGCUGAUACCGCCCAAGAGUUCAUAUCGACGGCGGUGUUUGGCACCUCGAUGUCGGUUCAUCUCAUCCUGGGGCUGUAGCCGGUCCCAAGGGUAUGGCUGUUCGCCAUUUAAAGAGGUACAUGAGCUGGGUUUAAAACGUCGUGAGACAGUUUGGUCCCUAUCUUCCGUGGGCGCUGCAGAUUUGAGGAAGCCUGCUCCUAGUACGAGAGGACCGGAGUGGACACACCUCUGGUGUAUCGGUUGUCACGCCAGUGGCAUUGCCGAGUAGCCAAGUGUGGAAGAGAUAACCGCUGAAAGCAUCUAAGCGGGAAACUCGUUUCAAGAUGAGAUCUGCCGGGGCCUUGAGCCCCCUAAAGAGUCGUUCAAGACCAGGACGUUGAUAGGUCAGGUGUGGGAGCGG
rnacentral:rRNA from 1 species